GUCCCCCCAACCUCUGUCACGCGCUUCUCCGUCAUCAUAGAUGGUGGCAGCACCGGCACCCGGACCCACAUCUUCGCCGCGGGGCCUGUGAUGCGUGUCUCCUCGGGGCUCUCAUCCUUCGCCGCCGAGGUGGCGUGCGCGGGGGAGUCGCUGCGGCCGCUGAUGGAGUUCGCGAGGGAGAGGGUCGGGGGCGCCGCUGCGGAGACGGAGGUGCGGCUGGUGGCCACCGCUGAGCUACCCCAACACCAGCUCCAAGGCACCCAGCGUCCCCUCCUUCGACGAGCACAAUGACCCGCUCCUUCCCAUCGUUACCUUCUCGCUGCCCUCGAUGCCCACGUCCCGGCGGGAGCUCCACCGCCGCCUCUCCCCCGAGCUCGCUCAGCAAAGAGGAAGGGCCAAGGAACAACAGUUUGUCCAAAAGGUGCAGAAAAUGCUUAUGGAGGAAGAGAACAAGAGGAUACAUAUUGCGCAAGGACUACCAUGGACUACUGAUGAGCCUGAGUGCUUGUUGAAGCCACCCAUCAAAGAAAGAACUGAGCCGAUCGACCUUGUUCUCCAUAGCGAUGUACGCGCAGUUGGACGUGUUAAAUUCGAUCAAUAUGUUCGCUGAGCAACUAAGGCUGGAGAAAAUGAGAUAACUCAUUCCACUGAACACAAGAAUGCCAAUAGUCAACACUUUAUUUCUAGAUUUAUAACUAAUAGUUUACAAUCUGUUGAGUAGCACUAGAGGAAAGAGGCUAAUUCAAUCGCGGGGUCGCUCAUUCAUAUUUUCAACUGCUUUGCCAGUGCCAGUAGUUGCUUCUGUGCAUGUUGCCCUCUUUGUCUCGCGGAAGGAGAAAUGGCGGAGAUCAGUGAUCUAGGGGUAUGUGCAGUAUUUUGCUUCUUUGACCAAACUCGACAUAACUAGCCCCAUCAUUUCCAUUGUAGUUGGAAGCGAAAAAGUAGCACUCAAGGCUGGCAGGCAUCUUCUAAACUCUGGAUUUCAUGUUACACCAAUCCGACCACCCACAGUUCCACUAAACUCUUGCAGUGUUCUCAUCCUACCUGUGUGUUGCGUAUCACCCUCUUUGUGCACGUGCUGCUAAUCUUUGCGUUGAGCUUGAAGAUGAUGACAAAAUCCACCUCAUGUUACUUGAUGAGGAUGAGAAUCCAUGCAUUCGGCUACUCUUGUACUGCAAAAAGCACAGAUAGCCAUCUGCUGAACGUCCAUCUCUAAAAAGUAACCCUGAUGAGCGCGCUCAGGUAGUUCAGACGAAAUUGGCUUCAUCAUCUGGUUGUGCAAGGACAGAUGAUUGAAUAUAUCCUUUUGCUAUUUGUAUGGCAGCGCGAGAUGGAGACCUUCACCAUGCUCAUUGUCAAUUUGAUUGUUGUUUUAUUGCAAUGCAUGUGUUUCACCCGUUGACUAU